AGAGUUUGAUCCUGGCUCAGGAUGAACGCUAGCGACAGGCCUAACACAUGCAAGUCGAGGGGUAACAGGGGCUUCGGCCCGCUGACGAC
rnacentral:rRNA from 1 species